AGAUGCAGCAAUCAAGGCUCAAGGGAUGAAAGAGAAGCAAAGCUGAGGUGCUGUGUUUGUUUAACUUCCCAGCUUGGGGGGUCCUAGGAGCUCCACAGGACUGUGUAUUUUGGGACUGAACUUCAAGUUCCCUGACCAUGGAUUGGCUGCAGAGAUGGGAACCUGCCUGCCUGUUGGGCUUAGGCUUCCUGUAUUGAACCUGGAGCAUGUUUCCUGACCUGUUGGACUGCCAGACUACCCACUAGCAUUUGACCCUGGGGCUGUAUACUAUCCAGAAACUGCAUCUUCCCAAGAGAAGGUAGGCCCAAUGCCCUGGCUUGCUGUCCUUCCUCCGUCCAAGGCCUCUGCUCAGCAGCUGCUGAGUAGAAGCAUCUAUGUUGUGGGGUGUGGGUGCUGCUUUGUAAGGAAAGUGACUUGCAAAGCAGCACCAUGCAGGAUUGAAUCCUCCCUGUAGUGGGUUGAAUUAUAUAUAUUGACCAGAACACAUUUUGGUGUUAACAAAACAGUUCUAUCAGUUCCCACAAUGCUUGAGUGGCUGAUUGUGGCAGUGGAAGAGUUUAGGAGGGGUCUUCACUGCUAGUGAACUGUGCCAAGGGUAAGAUCCCCUCCCCAUGCUGAGGAUCACAUUUCCUCCUGGGGCACAUUCCAGUAGUAGGUGGGGCCAGAAGCAAAAAGUAGGCUGGGCAGCACAUGUGACCCUUACUUUGGUACAAUGUGCUGCACUUCAUCCAUGUAACUUGCACAAUCCUCUUCAUUCUCCAACCAGACAAACAAGGGGCAUUACCACAGUGGAAGGGCAAAUUUCAGUCAGGCAAAAGCACUGAGGAAAGCAUGGAGCUGGGACAGAAAGGGGUGUGGACUAGGGAGGAGCCACGGUCUGAGGAGAAUCGAGAGGGUCAGAGAGAGGACUGGGAGGCUGCAUUUGACCCUCAGCCUGAAGGUCUCCACUCCUGGCCUAGUGAGACAUUUCAGUUGGCACCUCCAACAUUUGCAAAUAUUGAUGCUAUCCAAGUCUGAUAGGUUGCAAUAUGUAUUUACCCAGCUCACAGCUUGCAAGGGAUUUCAAGAUAAGCUGCUCUAUCCUUGAAAAUGCCCUUCUACCCACAAUUUUGGCCAUUUCCAGACAGUCCGUUUAAUGAGCAUUUAGCCUGAUUUGUUUGUGGGGAGAUGCUGCAUUAAAAUUAUCCUACAUGUGUCAAUGCAUUUUUCUAUCACAAAAAGGCACAUCUUUUGGGAGGAGUGGAUUUGUUUCACAAGAGCUCCAAAUUGCCUUGAACUAUGCAGUCUGAAUUGGUCAGGGUGGGAUUUAAUCCCAUCCCCAAAUAGUUUCAGUCUGGAAGCUCUCUUAUAUCGACACCCUUAGGAUUUUAUGUGCCAAUUUUGUGUCUGCAUGGUCUGUUGUUGGGAUGGUACUGAUUGGUGCAGUCUGUUUAUUGCUGAAAUGGACUUCAGCUUGACUGGCUUCUUGCAUACAGGCCCAAACUGGGUUAGGCAUAAUGUAACUCAAUCAAAUCUAGCUGCUGGAAAGGUUGGGGAGAAGCAUUUCUCUAGAACAUGCUGGUAGCAAGGAAAAGAUAGGCAUAUGAAUGGUUUGGGGCAAGUACCCUUUGGUGAGAGAACCCUAGCAGAGAUUUAAAAUCACGAAACAUGCAGCAAAGUAUGGAAAUAUAGGCUGAUAGACCUUUAAAAUAUGCCCUCGUGAGAUCCAAGAUAGUCUCCUCUUACCUCAGCAUAGAAAAAGACCACACGUUUGAUAAGUUAAUGGUUUAGUUAAAAACUUUCCAAAUGUCAGAUUCAUACGCUUUGCCAUACAGCAUUCAGAAAAUGUUGCACAGGCAAUAAAAUGGCUUAGUUACAGUGAUGAAAGUUCCUAAAUUGUUGGUGUAGGAACACAAGAAUGGCUUCUAAGAGUCAUGCAGCUAAGCUGCAGCAACCAGCUCAGCCUCUUCACAAGCUGAGCUUCUCGGGUAGACUGAUGCACAACAAUAGGCUUGAUUAGCCUCCUCCCCAGGUGAGGGGAAGUGACCUAGCUAAGCCCGGCAGGACAGAAUACUCUAUGGCAUUAACCUUUCAUGCAUUAAUUACACUUAAGCAUGUUGGUUAUACUAUAUAGUUAUCCCACAGAACAACCAUAGAAUCAGAACUGUGGAGUUGGAAUGGACCCUGUGGUCAUCUAGUCCAACCUCCUGCAAUGAAGGAAUCUUUUGCUCAAUAUGGGGCUUAAACCCAUGACCCUGAGAUUAAGAGCCUCAUGCUCUACUGAUUGAGCUACACAAGCCAUCCAAAAUAGGUCUACCUAGUGCCAUCAUUAACAUCCUUUCACUGCCAGGUAGGGUUGCCGCCUGUCCUGUAUAAUACAGGAUUGUCCCAUAUUUCAGUGUAAAAUUCUGUGUCCUAUAUUGAUAUAGUUUUGUCCUGUAUUUCAGGUCUGGUCUUCUCUCUCUCUCUCUCUCUCUCUCUCUCUCUCUCUCUCUCUCUCAAGUUAGAGAUCCUCUCCAAAUGCAUGUAUUUGAAAGGGUGUGGGAAAGGUCAUGUAUUGGCUCACAGUAGCCAAGAACAGACAAAUCUACAAAUUCAUGUGUAUGCGUGUGUAUGUGUGCCAAAUUCCAGAACGGCCAUCUUGUUAAGCUGCAAUAGAUUGUAAAGGAUUGCUUUGAAGUCACUUUAGCACCAGACAGAAAAAAAUCGCCACCCUGCAUUUUGCCAGAACAAAGGUUGCAACCCUAUUGCCAGGUACAAAACUUCUCUUUCCUCCUAGGAUUUUGAUAAAAUUAUGAUGCAUUUGCUGCCUAUUGCAUUGUAUGGGUUUUCUUUUUGUGUAUUUUAUUAUGAUUUUACAUUAUGCUCCUUUUUUGGGCAUAUUUCUUGGAGAUUCUUUAAAUGGAAGGUGACUAAUAAUUAACUUUCUAAAUCAUUAUUUAGUUUAAGCAAACAAUGCAAUUGUAAAACCUGGCAUACUGUAUUGAGCAACACCUAUCAUGGAAGAUCACAAAGCACAGUGAGCUGGUGAAGGUUCAUGAAUGAAGCCUUUGCAACAUACGCAGAAGAAAGGGGGUGCCACAUAGUUGCCUAAGCAAAAUGCUGCCUUUCCUGGCUUUGGGCUACAAUUCCCAAGCAGUAAAGCAAGAAGGCAUGUGUGCAAACACAAAUCAGUUCAAAACCAGUCCCAAGUGUUUGCCAGUGGCACGUGGAAUUGGUGAUUCAGUAACAAUUCAAGCGGGGAGGGCAGGGAUUGUCCAUUACUAGCUAUAAUGAACCUUGAAACCAUUGGAUAGUUUGGCAGCUCUGACUAAGAAAUGGAUGACAUCCCUCCUGCAUCAGGCCUUGAGCUUCCAAGAUAAUAGUGUGAUGUUGGAUACUUCCCAGUAGAGUUUGGGAGCAGACUGAUGCAGCAGCAACUUUUACUAGAGACUCCCUGGUUUUUG